CAAAUGGGAUUUCUGAGGUCAGAAACCUCAAGAAUUAAUUAGAGAGGUGUCACAGCUCUGUUAAAAUGUUUUCUAGCAGCUAUCCAGAGAAGGCUGUCAGAGAAGAAAACACAGCUCUUUUAGAAUGUUUUUUUGUUUGUUUGUUUUGUUAUUUGCUUUCUGAUUUUGAUAACCAAAAAUUACUUUUAGAAUUUUUCUACUGGACACCCACACAGUGGGUCUAUGUUAAAAACAUGGCUGCGACCAGUCUAGUGGGUAUUUGUAGAAGAGCCCCAGCGUUCCUGAAGGCUGCUUGCUCCCUAGUAAAUCCCAAGGACCCUUCUCACUCAGGUCACAGGUCUUCUCUUAGUUUGUUGCAUAAGAACACACCACAUGUCACAUCUUUUCUCCAGUGUAAAUUACUUCAUACCACACUGCCAAGGAGAGGACUAGCAGAAUUUUUUGAUGAUCCAAAGAAUGGGGGAGGAGGGAGAAAAAGUCAAAUCUGGAGCUUUAUGGACCUGCCAGCAGCUGAGAAACAAAAGCAAUGAAAACUUACAGAAGCUUUGGUAUGCGCUUCUGAAGGAAAGAACCAUGCUUCUAACUCUAGAACAGGAGGCCACGUGAUGAGAUUGCCAAUGCCAAGUCCAGAGUGGUUAGAAAAGGUUGUUGAUUCCAUGGAUGCCUUAGAUAAAGUUGUC
rnacentral:lncRNA from 1 species